rnacentral:sRNA from 2 species
CCAGGCAUACACAUCUGUACAUGGUUUUAUUAUUUAUUAUUUUUGCAUUUUUAUAUCUCCGGAUUGUGUGGACUGUGUCCGUGUUAUAAUGCGCUGCCCAAGUGGUAUCCGUACAGUUAUGAUUUUAUUACGGUAUCGUCCCAGAGGAAGCGUCGCGGGGUCAAAAUGGAACAUCCAGGGUACUUCUGUCCCCAUACAAUAUCGGUGAGGAUGCCUUGUAUCAGCUGUGUCAACAUCCCCUCUCGCUCGCCAGUCGAGAUUUAUCACCAGCUGAACAACGUAUGAACAAUCGAUCUGACAGAGACGCCGGUUUGUGAGUUCAGCCCAACGAAGCCACCGUUUUCUUCCCGCACUCAGUUGACUCCUUAUCACCAGCGAGAUCUCAUCCCAUCAUCACGCAGGUUACCCUCUCCAAACAUUUCCACAAGGCAACCGCCAAACAAGGCCGCGCGUUGUGUGCGGCGGCGAAAAAUGAAUAACCCAAAACCUUAUGGAAAUGCGGGAACCUAAUCUUCUCUCGAAAGGCUCGUUGGAAAACACAGGACUUCUGCGCUCUCCCUGAACAUGAACUGUAGGGUUACUAGGAUGAUAUCCAACAUGUUGUGUUUACGCGACGCUUCCUUGAACACAUCCAUCCAAUGACCAGUGACUGGGUGCAACCUCCCCUGCAUCAUUUUUCUGCUAUCCAUCCAGAAUAAGAUCUUUUUAUACAUGGCAACAUUGUCAAAAUUACGCCAAUGCUCUGGGUAAAUCACCCACAUCUGGCUGUCCUCGCAACCGGUUCUGGAGCUGUCAGAGCUCUCAACAAGGAGAAACAAAUGGCAAGUCUGAUAUCACAACAGGCAUUAUUUAUUUAAGUCUUCUGGGAAUAUCUUCGAGCGAUACCAGUUAUCUCGGGCAUGCCAUAACAUGAACGCCAACUUGAUUGAAUAGGACGAAAUGCGUGGACGAGUCAGCCAGUCAGCCAUUCAGCCAGUCAGCCAGCCAGCCAGCUAUUCAGCCAUUCAAGCAAGCAAGCCAACAAGCGGUCAAUUUAACCAGAAACAACAUUGCUGCUCGCUUCUUCAUCAACUAAUGAUCGUGCAUCGGGCGGCUGAUUGAAAUUAGCUGCCUCUACGUAACCGCCUCUCCCCUGCCAUGUCUGAUUCCUAAAUCACCUUAUCGGGAGAAUCGAAUCGAAAGCCGAUUGUUUCAUAAUGGUAGGAAUCCGAAGUCCGAUGUUCUGAUAAACCCUUACAUGUCCCCUCAAAAAGAAAGAAAAGAAAAAAACUCAAUGCCGAAAACAUGUCUGGUAGGACUGGGUACAACUUAAAUCAAUGAUAGCGAAUAUUUUAUCUCGGCAAAAGUGCAGUGCUUCCUGAAUGAAUUGCUAUCAGAGAGCAAGCGGCAUGUAGAAGCUAAGAUAUGGUCCUCAUGCGCCUGCACGCCAUCAUUCGAAAUCAUUUGCACAUAUACUGAGGAUGACAGUGGAUGCUGAUCGAAACACUAAGGACAUAUAUAUAUGGCAUGCUUACCUAGAGUUGUAUCUUAUUUGGUAGACCUUAAUGGAGAUGAUUACAUCUAGGGAGCGGA